AUGAUUCUCAAUAAGUCUAACCGCAGGAAAUGCAACACCUGUCCUUAUACCUCCACCCUCGCCUCCAUUCAGGGACCCCGGCACUCCUUCCAGACCAAGCAGAAACCGACGCAUGCUAAAGUGAUCUACGCUCCGCUCGUCACGGCAGGAAACAAGAAAAGAGAGCAAACAAUUGUACGGAUAAUGCCACUGACAACCCGUAGUUCGGAUCGAACCGGUGUCUGCUGCAUUUGCUUUCCGCCAACUCCACUGAAAAUUUACUCUGGAAUUCCCGAGAAGACGGAAUCCUUCUUUAUUCUCUGCGCGACAUCUCCCUUUUACCCAAAGGAUAUCAGCUUCAUCUGGUAUAAAGAUGGUAUAAAAACUACAACGGAUUUAGAUAAUAGCAACAAGCUCACCGCAGAUGGAUUGUUUGAAGCUUCCAGCCGAUUAAAGGUGACACAGUAUGGCCCGACCGGCACCGUUUACACCUGCCUUGUGAAUCAUGUAACUCACCGUGUUCCUGCAGCAGCUACUUACGUUGUCAUCAACUCCGACACAGAUCACGUCAAUUACGUCAUGAUUUCGAUAUGCGCAGUGAGCGGUCUUGUAUCGUUGCUAUUGGCUCUUGUCAUUGCAAAGCGUUGUAUUGCAAGGAAAAUUAAAGGUACGCGGAAGGAAGAAGAAAGAUCCGAUGUUAUUGAGCAACUGACCAAGCAGAAACCAAUGCAUGGUAAAGUGAUUACUACGAUGGGGAACAAGACAGGAGAAAUCGGCACAACUGCGCCCAUUGCUUUCCGUGAGCAGUUGCACUUUAGCGCCCUUUCUUGA